CAAGAUAGUAGUUUAAUUAAAAUAUUGACAUUGGAAGUCAAAGAUUGAGUAGGGCUAAUCUCACUUCUUGA
rnacentral:tRNA from 1 species